GACGAACCGAGCGACCGUUGUUCGGAAUCACUGGGCUUAAAGGGCGCGUAGGCGGACUAUCAAGUCUGGGGUGAAAUCCCGCGGCUCAACCGUGGAACUGCCUCAGAUACUGACGGUCUCGAGGGAGGUAGGGGCAUGCGGAACUGUAGGUGGAGCGGUGAAAUGCGUUGAUAUCUACAGGAACUCCGGUGGCGAAAGCGGCGUGCUGGACCUCUUCUGACGCUGAGGCGCGAAAGCUAGGGGAGCAAACGGG
rnacentral:rRNA from 1 species